GGAGGGGGCUAGCGUUGUUCGGAAUUACUGGGCGUAAAGCGCGCGUAGGCGGACCUGCAAGUCGGGGGUGAAAGCCCGAGGCUCAACCUCGGAACUGCCUUCGAUACUGCGGGUCUCGAGUCCGGGAGAGGUGAGUGGAAUUCCUAGUGUAGAGGUGAAAUUCGUAGAUAUUAGGAAGAACACCAGUGGCGAAGGCGGCUCACUGGCCCGGUACUGACGCUGAGGCGCGAAAGCGUGGGGAGCAAACAGGAUUAGAUACCCUGGUAGUCCACGCCGUAAACUAUGGGUGCUAGCCGUCGGUCGGCAUGCCCGGUCGGUGGCGCAGCAAACGCAUUAAGCACCCCCGCCUGGGGAGUACGGUCGCAAGAUUA
rnacentral:rRNA from 1 species